UCCUACGGGAGGCAGCAGUGGGGAAUAUUGCGCAAUGGGGGGAACCCUGACGCAGCCAUGCCGCGUGAAUGAAGAAGGCCUUCGGGUUGUAAAGUUCUUUCGGUAAUGAGGAAGGGAUGUUAUUAAAUAGAUAGCAUCAUUGACGUUAAUUACAGAAGAAGCACCGGCUAACUCCGUGCCAGCAGCCGCGGUAAUACGGAGGGUGCGAGCGUUAAUCGGAAUAACUGGGCGUAAAGGGCACGCAGGCGGACUUUUAAGUGAGAUGUGAAAUCCCCGAGCUUAACUUGGGAACUGCAUUUCAGACUGGGAGUCUAGAGUACUUUAGGGAGGGGUAGAAUUCCACGUGUAGCGGUGAAAUGCGUAGAGAUGUGGAGGAAUACCGAAGACGAAGGCAGCCCCUUGGGAAUGUACUGACGCUCAUGUGCGAAAGCGUGGGGAGCAAACAGGAUUAGAUACCCUGGUAGUCC
rnacentral:rRNA from 1 species